ensembl:snoRNA SNORA70 Small nucleolar RNA SNORA70
UUGCAGCCAGUUAAACCGACUGUGCGCUUUUCCCCAUCAGGGUCGAGUGUGCAAUGCCUGAAAACAGUAUAUGCAGCCUGUUGUCCAUGUGGGUUGCUCAAAGGGACCCUGGAGACAGCC